GACGAACCGUGCGAACGUUGUUCGGAAUCACUGGGCUUAAAGGGCGCGUAGGCGGCCUGCUAAGUCGAACGUGAAAUCCCUGGGCUCAACCCAGGAACUGCGUCCGAUACUGGUUGGCUUGAAUCCGGGAGAGGGAUGUGGAAUUCCAGGUGUAGCGGUGAAAUGCGUAGAUAUCUGGAGGAACACCGGUGGCGAAGGCGGCAUCCUGGACCGGUAUUGACGCUGAGGCGCGAAAGCCAGGGGAGCAAACGGG
rnacentral:rRNA from 1 species